UACAGAGACUGCAAGCGUUAUUCGGAUUCACUGGGCGUAAAGGGUGCGCAGGCGGCCAAGUGUGUGAGGCGUGAAAGCCUGAAGCUUAACUUCGGAAUUGCACCUCAAACUACAUGGCUAGAGCAUUGGAGAGGGUAGCGGAAUUCACGGUGUAGCAGUGAAAUGCGUAGAUAUCGUGAGGAACACCAGAGGCGAAGGCGGCUACCUGGACAAUUGCUGACGCUCAGGCACGAAAGCGUGGGGAGCAAAAGGG
rnacentral:rRNA from 1 species